rfam:Felis catus isolate Cinnamon breed Abyssinian chromosome B4, whole genome shotgun sequence.
GCCUGAGUGGCUCUGUCGGUUGAGCGUCCAACUUCGGCCCAGGUCAUGAUCUCACGGUUCGUGAGUUCGAGCCCCACCUCAGGCU